CUACGGGUGGCAGCAGUGGGGAAUAUUGGACAAUGGGCGAAAGCCUGAUCCAGCAAUGCCGCGUGAGUGAUGAAGGCCUUAGGGUUGUAAAGCUCUUUUACCAGGGAUGAUAAUGACAGUACCUGGAGAAUAAGCUCCGGCUAACUCCGUGCCAGCAGCCGCGGUAAUACGGAGGGAGCUAGCGUUGUUCGGAAUUACUGGGCGUAAAGCGUACGUAGGCGGUUAUUCAAGUCAGAGGUGAAAGCCUGGAGCUCAACUCCAGAACUGCCUUUGAAACUAGAUAGCUAGAAUCUUGGAGAGGUGAGUGGAAUUCCGAGUGUAGAGGUGACAUUCGUAGAUAUUCGGAAGAACACCAGUGGCGAAGGCGACUCACUGGACAAGUAUUGACGCUGAGGUACGAAAGCGUGGGGAGCAAACAGGAUUAGAUACCCGCGUAGUC
rnacentral:rRNA from 1 species